AGUCGCGUGGUCUAAUGGUUAUGAUAUCUCGUUCACAAAGUGAGCUCAGGCUACUUCGGUAGUUCCGAGAUGGUUCCCGGUUCGAUCCCGGGCGCGACUA